AGUUUGUUUACAAACUGCAUACAAUAAUGCGACGUUUGCCGAAAGGCAAACUCGGCAGAUAAACAGUGAGGCUGAAUUUCUGCCGAACUGUUUAUCGCAC
rnacentral:sRNA from 1 species